GGUGUUUUAAGAUGGUCAGGAUGACAAGGAAGAGCAUCCUCUUUUUGGUUCUUGAGGAGGGAGAGAUGAGUUCUGCUCCUGGAGGUGUGAAAACCUGGGCACACGGGAGGCACAGGGCCGGAGAUGCCAAUCCAGCCAGGCAGGUGAAGCAGGCGUAGCUCCCACCUGGGCCCUGUGUUUAGCGCCAAAGUGGCGCAUGCGGAGAGAGCCAGGCACCGGUGAUGGCAGCAGGGAGACCUGAGUGCAAUGUUUGCAGUCAUUUAUUCAAUGAAUAUUUUACAAGCAUAAUACCACAAAUUCUUCAAGGGAAAGGAUCAUUUAUUUAUGUUGCUGUCUUGCCUAUAGUAAGUAAAUCAAUGUUUGUUAAUUGUUGUUGUUUGUUUGCCUCUCUGGACAUCAAGCCCAAGGCCUUACUGCACGUGCCUGGAAAGCUCUCUCCCACUGAUCUAUAGCCCCAGCCCCUGUGUUAGUUUUCUAAUUGCUUUAAUUUUAUUAUUACCUGAGCAUUACCUUGAAUAAUGUGUCAAUUGGGAAAACAGAAGCUCAAAUAAAUUUAACAUCAAGAGAUAGUGAGUUAUAAAACCAUUGGGAGGGAUAAAAAUUUGGUACUACUGCUCUUCCCAAGGAAGCCCAGGAGAGCUGACACUGGGGUCUCAGCUGCUGGCAGUGCACAUGGAUGUGGAUGGCACUCAAGAGGGCACCAAGACACCCACAGCUACUUUCUUGUUCAUCUUCCAAAUUUCUCACUGAGAGACAGCUAAAUCCCUGCUGGCAAGGAGCUCU
rnacentral:lncRNA from 1 species